rnacentral:rRNA from 1 species
GAUGAACGCUGGCGGCGUGCCUAAUACAUGCAAGUCGAGCGAACAGAUGAGGAGCUUGCUCCUCUGACGUUAGCGGCGGACGGGUGAGUAACACGUGGAUAACCUACCUAUAAGACUGGGAUAACUUCGGGAAACCGGAGCUAAUACCGGAUAAUAUAUUGAACCGCAUGGUUCAAUAGUGAAAGACGGUUUUGCUGUCACUUAUAGAUGGAUCCGCGCCGCAUUAGCUAGUUGGUAAGGUAACGGCUUACCAAGGCAACGAUGCGUAGCCGACCUGAGAGGGUGAUCGGCCACACUGGAACUGAGACACGGUCCAGACUCCUACGGGAGGCAGCAGUAGGGAAUCUUCCGCAAUGGGCGAAAGCCUGACGGAGCAACGCCGCGUGAGUGAUGAAGGUCUUCGGAUCGUAAAACUCUGUUAUUAGGGAAGAACAAAUGUGUAAGUAACUAUGCACGUCUUGACGGUCCCUAAUCAGAAAGCCACGGCUAACUACGUG